rnacentral:rRNA from 1 species
AGAGCGAACGCUGGCGGCAGGCCUAAUACAUGCAAGUCGAACGAGCCCUUCGGGGCUAGUGGCGGACGGGUGAGUAACACGUGGGAACGUGCCCUUUGGUUCGGAACAACUCAGGGAAACUUGAGCUAAUACCGAAUGUGCCCUUCGGGGGAAAGAUUUAUCGCCAUUAGAGCGGCCCGCGUCUGAUUAGCUAGUUGGUGAGGUAAAGGCCCACCAAGGCUACGAUCAGUAGCUGGUCUGAGAGGAUGAUCAGCCACACUGGGACUGAGACACGGCCCAGACUCCUACGGGAGGCAGCAGUAGGGAAUCUUGCGCAAUGGGCGAAAGCCUGACGCAGCCAUGCCGCGUGAAUGAUGAAGGUCUUAGGAUUGUAAAAUUCUUUCAGCGGGACGAUAAUGACGGUACCCGCAGAAGAAGCCCGGCUAACUUCGCGCCAGCAGCCGC